rnacentral:misc_RNA from 1 species
UUAAUAAUUUUACAAAUAAUCAGACAAUAGGUUACAAAAGAGUUUUGUGGUCCUCUGGCAGGCACUGACCAGCAAAUUUGCCAGUGGCCUUAAGACGGGCCUGCCAAAGCAACAAAGUAUUGUAAACAAAGGGUGGGAGAUAUACCCCAAAGGGCAUUUUCUCUGUAAUGAUCCUUCCGCAGGUUCACCUACGGAAA